UCUACAAACACUACUCCAUCCAGAACUACCCCACCUUCUACAAACACGACUCCAUCUAGAACUACCCCACCUUCUACAGACACUACUCCAUCCAGAACUACCCCAUCUUCUACAAACACUACUCCACCCACAACAACUACUCCAUCCAGAACUAUUACCCCACCUUCUACAAACACUACCCCACCAGCAACUACUCCAUCCUCCACAUUGGUCCUACCGUCCACAACAGUCACUACAUCAACUACAUCUGUUUCCUCUGCACCAUCUACACCAAUAACUACACCUGAAGACACAACCCGGGUACCAGGUGUCUCAACCACGAGUGUAGCUCUGAGGAUGAGACUGUUGUCCUCCACCCCGCUGUCUGAGGACCACAUCAGGACCUCCGUCAUGCAGCAGAUCAGAGAUGAACUGGUGAGACGAGGGCUGUCAGUCACGACUCUACGCCUCAUCAGUGUGUCGUCAGCGUCCACAGCACAGCGCCCCCUGGUGGUUUAAUGUAAACACACAUGAAACCCUGCAGGGUCGGAUUUACUUAUAUAAAAUCUUUGAACAUUAAUUUGUAUUAAGCCUUUAAAAAGAAACACGGCACAGCAAAUAUGUAUUCCAGAUUAGCUCGAAGAUGUGUUCAUUAAAUUAAAAUAUAAAAAUGUG